UACGUAGGGGGCAAGCGUUGUCCGGAAUCAUUGGGCGUAAAGCGCGUGUAGGCGGCCCGAUAAGUCCGCUGUGAAAGUCCAGGGCUCAACCCUGGGAUGCCGGUGGAUACUGUCGGGCUCGAGUCCGGAAGAGGAGUGUUGAAUUCCUGGUGUAGCGGUGAAAUGCGCAGAUAUCAGGAGGAACACCAAUGGCGAAGGCAGCACUCUGGGACGUGACUGACGCUGAGACGCGAAAGCGUGGGGAGCAAACAGG
rnacentral:rRNA from 1 species